rnacentral:tRNA from 1 species
GCCGGAGUGGCGGAAUGGUAGACGCAAGGGACUUAAAAUCCCUCUCCGUUUCUGCGGAGUGCCGGUUCGAGUCCGGCCUCCGGCA